rnacentral:rRNA from 1 species
UACAGAGGGUGCGAGCGUUAAUCGGAAUUACUGGGCGUAAAGCGCACGUAGGUGGCGACGUAAGUCGGGUGUGAAAGCCCCGGGCUCAACCUGGGAAUUGCAUUCGAGACUGCAUUGCUGGAGUACGGAAGAGGAAGGCGGAAUUCCCGGUGUAGCGGUGAAAUGCGUAGAGAUCAGGAAGAACAUCGGUGGCGAAGGCGCUCUGCUGGACCAUAACUGACACUCAGGGACGAAAGCUAGGGGAGCGAAUGGG